rnacentral:snRNA from 1 species
GAACUUAGAGGAAAGUUUUCUGA